CAAGACUGCUGUCGUUCAAGAAGUUAAUGACCACUGUUGCGGUUGUGAGCUACAAAUACCCAGAAGAGGCGGCACUUACAUUGGAAUUCAUACAGAAAGUUUUCCUGUGAAGAAAUCCUAAAUGAGGGUUGAGAUGAAGGCAACCAGGUGAUGGGCAGUUCAAGAUUGCUGUCGUUUGAGAAGUUAAUGAACAAAUCUUCUUUCCUGUUGCGGUUGUGAGCUACAAAAUACCCAGAGGAGGCGGCACUUACUCUGGAGUUCAUACAGAAAAUUUUCCUGUGAAGAAAUCCUAAACAUGGUUUGAGAUGAAGGCAACCAAGUGGCUAUGCAUUCCUCCAAGACUCUUGCAUGAACAAUUUCAAAAAUCCAUGUAAUAUUUGAGUUUUUAAAUUGAAAAAAAAUGGCACUUGCAUUAAACAUGCAGUUACAUAUUAAUUAAUACAUCCCCUAUAAUGAAUUGCAUCACUUCAAUGAUAUUUCUGUUACAAUGAACUUCAAAAUUCUGUUGUCAAGCCAUUGGAGUCA